rnacentral:rRNA from 1 species
GAUGAACGCUAGCUACAGGCUUAACACAUGCAAGUCGAGGGGAAACGAUAUUGGAAGCUUGCUUCUGAUAGGCGUCGACCGGCGCACGGGUGAGUAACGCGUAUCCAACCUUCCGUACACUCAGGGAUACGCCUUUCGAAAGAAAGAUUAAUACCUGAUGGUAUGAUGAGAUUGCAUGAUAGCAUCAUUAAAGAUUUAUCGGUGUACGAUGGGGAUGCGUUCCAUUAGGUAGUAGGCGGGGUAACGGCCCACCUAGCCAACGAUGGAUAGGGGUUCUGAGAGGAAGGUCCCCCCANAUUGGAACUGAGACACGGUCCAAACUCCUACGGGAGCAGCAGUGAGGAACUAGUUGG